AUAUUGUGUGUGAAUGUCUUUUGUGUCAAAGUGAAGUGUUUAAUAAGUGAAAAGCUGCAAAAGUUGUGAGAAAAGUGCAAGUAAAUGAUGGCUGUGAGUGGGCAGCAUCAAUCGUGUGACAAGUGAAUGACUUCAUUUCGGCGAUGUAAAAAGAACGUAUGUAUGUGUGUAGAGGCAGAGUGUGUUAAUGAUGUAAAAUAAUGGAAGUGCAAAAGCGUAGCAAGAAAGUUAGUGAUGAUAGGGUGCAUAGUUAUGUAGAAAAAUUUGUAGGGUUUAUGAAAAUAAUAUUUUUUUAUGUCAAAGCAAGUGUCAAAUAAAAUAGUGUUAAUAAGUGAUGGUGUUCUAAAGUGUAUACAUAAAUAUUUUGAAGUAUGUGAACUAUGUGUGUAUGUUUGCUGGUGUAAUAUUAAGAAACUCUACGGAGCCACAUCGCGUUAAUAAUGCUCCUCAAACGGUGCGCAUUGGAACAGCCUAUAGUGUUAAUUCAAAAGUGUGUGUGAUAAAAAUGUGUGUGCAGCAUUCAGUAAUAGUAAAAG